AUGGCUCCGCGUUCAGCCGCUCUCGCUCUCAAGGCAGCCGCCGUCGCCGCCAUUCUCGCCACGCUGGUUGCGCCUUCUUUGGGGCGCUGCGGUCACUCUCAGGCGCCGGCAACGCCACCGCCGCCGCCCCCACCACCACCACCACCACCGUACCAUCACCACCCCACCAUCUCCGGCACUGGCUCCAGCGCCGGGACCUGGGCCUGGGCCAACGAUAUCGUGCAACGACUGUUUUUCGCAGUGCUACUCGCCAUGUGA
rnacentral:rRNA from 1 species